UUAAGCGACUAAGCGUACACGGUGGAUGCCCUGGCAGUCAGAGGCGAUGAAGGACGUGCUAAUCUGCGAAAAGCGUCGGUAAGGUGAUAUGAACCGUUAUAACCGGCGAUGUCCGAAUGGGGAAACCCAGUGCAAUUCGUUGCACUAUCGUUAACUGAAUACAUAGGUUAACGAGGCGAACCGGGGGAACUGAAACAUCUAAGUACCCCGAGGAAAAGAAAUCAACCGAGAUUCCCCCAGUAGCGGCGAGCGAACGGGGAGCAGCCCAGAGUCUGAAUCAGCUUGUGUGUUAGUGGAACGGUCUGGAAAGUCCGACGGUACAGGGUGAUAGUCCCGUACACCAAAAUGCACAGGCUGUGAACUCGAAGAGUAGGGCGGGACACGUGGUAUCCUGUCUGAAUAUGGGGGGACCAUCCUCCAAGGCUAAAUACUCCUGACUGACCGAUAGUGAACCAGUACCGUGAGGGAAAGGCGAAAAGAACCCCGGCGAGGGGAGUGAAAAAGAACCUGAAACCGUGUACGUACAAGCAGUGGGAGCACCUUCGGGUGUGACUGCGUACCUUUUGUAUAAUGGGUCAGCGACUUAUAUUCUGUAGCAAGGUUAACCGUAUAGGGGAGCCGCAGGGAAACCGAGUCUUAACUGGGCGUUAAGUUGCAGGGUAUAGACCCGAAACCCGGUGAUCUAGCCAUGGGCAGGUUGAAGGUUGGGUAACACUAACUGGAGGACCGAACCGACUAAUGUUGAAAAAUUAGCGGAUGACUUGUGGCUGGGGGUGAAAGGCCAAUCAAACCGGGAGAUAGCUGGUUCUCCCCGAAAGCUAUUUAGGUAGCGCCUCGUGAACUCAUCUUCGGGGGUAGAGCACUGUUUCGGCUAGGGGGUCAUCCCGACUUACCAACCCGAUGCAAACUACGAAUACCGAAGAAUGUUAUCACGGGAGACACACGGCGGGUGCUAACGUCCGUCGUGAAGAGGGAAACAACCCAGACCGCCAGCUAAGGUCCCAAAGUCAUGGUUAAGUGGGAAACGAUGUGGGAAGGCACAGACAGCCAGGAUGUUGGCUUAGAAGCAGCCAUCAUUUAAAGAAAGCGUAAUAGCUCACUGGUCGAGUCGGCCUGCGCGGAAGAUGUAACGGGGCUAAACCAUGCACCGAAGCUGCGGCAGCGACACUAUGUGUUGUUGGGUAGGGGAGCGUUCUGUAAGCCUGCGAAGGUGUGCUGUGAGGCAUGCUGGAGGUAUCAGAAGUGCGAAUGCUGACAUAAGUAACGAUAAAGCGGGUGAAAAGCCCGCUCGCCGGAAGACCAAGGGUUCCUGUCCAACGUUAAUCGGGGCAGGGUGAGUCGACCCCUAAGGCGAGGCCGAAAGGCGUAGUCGAUGGGAAACAGGUUAAUAUUCCUGUACUUGGUGUUACUGCGAAGGGGGGACGGAGAAGGCUAUGUUAGCCGGGCGACGGUUGUCCCGGUUUAAGCAUGUAGGCUGGUUGUCCAGGCAAAUCCGGAUAAUCAAGGCUGAGGUGUGAUGACGAGGCACUACGGUGCUGAAGUAACAAAUGCCCUGCUUCCAGGAAAAGCCUCUAAGCAUCAGGUAACAUCAAAUCGUACCCCAAACCGACACAGGUGGUCAGGUAGAGAAUACCAAGGCGCUUGAGAGAACUCGGGUGAAGGAACUAGGCAAAAUGGUGCCGUAACUUCGGGAGAAGGCACGCUGGUGUGUAGGUGAAGCCCCUGCGGGUGGAGCUGAGACCAGUCGAAGAUACCAGCUGGCUGCAACUGUUUAUUAAAAACACAGCACUGUGCAAACACGAAAGUGGACGUAUACGGUGUGACGCCUGCCCGGUGCCGGAAGGUUAAUUGAUGGGGUUAUCCGUAAGGAGAAGCUCUUGAUCGAAGCCCCGGUAAACGGCGGCCGUAACUAUAACGGUCCUAAGGUAGCGAAAUUCCUUGUCGGGUAAGUUCCGACCUGCACGAAUGGCGUAAUGAUGGCCAGGCUGUCUCCACCCGAGACUCAGUGAAAUUGAACUCGCUGUGAAGAUGCAGUGUACCCGCGGCAAGACGGAAAGACCCCGUGAACCUUUACUAUAGCUUGACACUGAACAUUGAGCCUUGAUGUGUAGGAUAGGUGGGAGGCUUUGAAGCGUGGACGCCAGUCUGCGUGGAGCCAACCUUGAAAUACCACCCUUUAAUGUUUGAUGUUCUAACGUUGGCCCCUGACCGGGGUUGCGGACAGUGUCUGGUGGGUAGUUUGACUGGGGCGGUCUCCUCCCAAAGCGUAACGGAGGAGCACGAAGGUUAGCUAAUCCUGGUCGGACAUCAGGAGGUUAGUGCAAUGGCAUAAGCUAGCUUGACUGCGAGCGUGACGGCGCGAGCAGGUGCGAAAGCAGGUCAUAGUGAUCCGGUGGUUCUGAAUGGAAGGGCCAUCGCUCAACGGAUAAAAGGUACUCCGGGGAUAACAGGCUGAUACCGCCCAAGAGUUCAUAUCGACGGCGGUGUUUGGCACCUCGAUGUCGGCUCAUCACAUCCUGGGGCUGAAGUAGGUCCCAAGGGUAUGGCUGUUCGCCAUUUAAAGUGGUACGCGAGCUGGGUUUAGAACGUCGUGAGACAGUUCGGUCCCUAUCUGCCGUGGGCGCUGGAGAAUUGAGGGGGGCUGCUCCUAGUACGAGAGGACCGGAGUGGACGCAUCACUGGUGUUCGGGUUGUCAUGCCAAUGGCACUGCCCGGUAGCUAAAUGCGGAAGAGAUAAGUGCUGAAAGCAUCUAAGCACGAAACUUGCCCCGAGAUGAGUUCUCCCUGAGACUUUAAGUCUCCUGAAGGAACGUUGAAGACGACGACGUUGAUAGGCCGGGUGUGUAAGCGCAGCGAUGCGUUGAGCUAACCGGUACUAAUGAACCGUGAGGCUUAACCU
rnacentral:rRNA from 1 species